GGGCUCGCGUGCCAUUAGCUUGUUGGUGGGGUAAUGGCCUACCAAGGCAACGAUGGCUAGCUGGUCUGAGAGGAUGGCCAGCCACACUGGAACUGAAACACGGUCCAGACUCCUACGGGAGGCAGCAGUGAGGAAUUUUGCGCAAUGGGGGAAACCUUGACGCAACAACGCCGCGUGAGUGAAGAAGGCCUUCGGGUCGUAAAGCUCUGUCAAGUGGGAAAUGAUGGUACCACUGGAGGAAGCACCGGCUAACUCCGUGCCAGCAGCCGCGGUAAUACGGAGGGUGCAAGCGUUGUUCGGAAUUACUGGGCGUAAAGGGCGUGUAGGCGGUUUGGUAAGUCAGAUGUGAAAGCCCUGGGCUCAACCCGGGAAGUGCAUUUGAAACUGCCAUUCUUGAGUAUGGGGAGGAGAGUGGAAUUCCCAGUGUAGAGGUGAAAUUGUAGAU
rnacentral:rRNA from 1 species